rnacentral:miRNA from 12 species
CUCCUCCUGCAGAAGGUGCGGCUGCUCGUGCUCCCCAACGGUUCCAUGCACUCUGCAGGCACAGGAGCGAGCCCUGACCCAC